rnacentral:rRNA from 1 species
UACGUAUGGUGCAAGCGUUAUCCGGAUUUACUGGGUGUAGAGGGAGCGCAGGCGGCACGGCAAGCCUGAUGUGAAAGCCCGCGGCCCAACCGCGGGACCGCAUUGGGAACUACCGGGCUGGAGUGCCGGAGAGGUAGGCGGAAUUCCUAGUGUAGCGGUGAAAUGCGUAGAUAUUAGGAGGAACACCAGUGGCGAAGGCGGCCUACUGGACGGUGACUGACGCUGAGGCUCGAAAGCGUGGGGAGCAAACAGG